AUUGAACGCUGGCGGCAGGCCUAACACAUGCAAGUCGAACGAGUGGCGGACGGGUGAGUAAUGUCUGGGAAACUGCCCGAUGGAGGGGGAUAACUACUGGAAACGGUAGCUAAUACCGCAUACCAUCGGAUUCGCCCAGAUGGGAUUAGCUAGGAGGUGGGGUAACGGCUCACCUAGGCGACGAUCCCUAGAUGGUCGGAGAGGAUGACCAGCCACACUGGAACUGAGACACGGUCCAGAUUCUUAGGGGAGGAAGCAGUGGGGAAAAUUGCACAAUGGGCGCAAGCCGGAUGCAGCAAUGCCGCGUGUAUGAAGAAGGCCUUCGGGUUGUAAAGUACUUUCAGCGAGGAGGCGUUACUCGCAGAAGAAGCACCGGCUAACUCCGUGCCAGCAGCCGCGGUAAUUC
rnacentral:rRNA from 1 species